AACGCACAUUGCGCCCCUCGGUAUUCCGGGGGGCAUGCCUGUUCGAGCGUCAUUACACCCCUCAAGCUCUGCUUGGUAUUGGGCCCUCGCCCCCUGGGCGUGCCCGAAAAACAGUGGCGGUCCGGCGUGACUUUAAGCGCAGUAAAUCUUCCCCGCUUUGAAAGUUCGCCCCGUGGCUUGCCAGACAACCCCAUUUAUUUCAAUGAUUGACCUCGGAUCAGGUAGGGAUACCCGCUGAACUUAA
rnacentral:misc_RNA from 1 species